GACGAACGCUGGCGGCGUGCUUAACACAUGCAAGUCGAACGGAAAGGCCCUGCUUGCAGGGUACUCGAGUGGCGAACGGGUGAGUAACACGUGGGUGAUCUGCCCUGCACUUCGGGAUAAGCCUGGGAAACUGGGUCUAAUACCGGAUAGGAGCCAUUUUUAGUGUGAUGGUUGGAAAGUUUUUUCGGUGUAGGAUGAGCUCGCGGCCUAUCAGCUUGUUGGUGGGGUAAUGGCCUACCAAGGCGGCGACGGGUAGCCGGCCUGAGAGGGUGGACGGCCAAAGUGGGACGGGGAUAGGGACAGGCCCCAGACGGGGGGGGGCAGUGGGGAGUAGGGCAAAAGGGGCAAAGGCCUAAGGCUGCGAGGGCGGGGGGGGGUUGAGGCCUUGGGGGUUGAAAUCUUCUUCGGCUGGGAAAAAGGUUUUUUGUGACGGUACCUAAUAAAGAAGCACCGGCUAACUAGGUG
rnacentral:rRNA from 1 species